CUGAGAAUAAUACUCCAUAGAUCUAGGAUGCUGGAAUGCACUUAGAUUGAAAGUUCCGACGCCUAAGGAUGAGUCUGUGGACUAUCAGGUAGUAGUCAGGGUAAAGGCCUGACUAGCCUACGACGGAUACGGGUUGUGAGAGCAAUAACCCGGAGACGAUAUCUGAGACACGAUAUCGGGCCCUACGGGGCGCAGCAGGCGCGAAACCUUCACAAUGUGCGAAAGCACGAUGAGGGGAUCCCAAGUGCUUGCUCGUAAGAGUAAGCUGUUUUUAUGUCUAAAAAGCAUAGAGAGUAAGGGCUGGGUAAGACGGGUGCCAGCCGCCGCGGUAAUACCUGCAGCUCAAGUGGUGACCACUGUUAUUGGGCCUAAAACGUUCGUAGCCGGUUUGGUAAAUGCCUGGGUAAAUCGUGUAGCUUAACUAUACGAAUUCCGGGUAGACUGCCAAACUUGAGACCGGGAGAAGCUAGAGGUACUCCUGGGGUAGAGGUGAAAUUCUGUAAUCCUGGGGGGACCACCAGUGGCGAAGGCGUCUAGCUAGAACGGGUCUGACGGUGAGGAACGAAGCCCUGGGGCGCAAACCGGAUUAGAUACCCGGGUAGUCCAGGGUGUAAACGCUGCUUGCUUGAUGUUA
rnacentral:rRNA from 1 species